rnacentral:misc_RNA from 1 species
UAGGAUGUUAGGUUUGGAUUAUCAGUCAAAAAGGGGCUACAUUGGUAUCGACUAUUUUGGUAGAACUGUGACUAUUAAAAUCCUUCCUGUUGGUAUUCACAUGGGGCAGAUCCAAAAUGUUAUGUCUUUGCCUGAUACAGCGAAAAAGGCGAAGGAAUUGAAAGAGAAGUAUGAGGGGAAAAUUGUGUUGUUAGGUAUCGAUGAUAUGGAUGUGUUUAAAGGGAUUGGUCUGAAGUUUUUAGCGAUGGGACAUCUUCUUGAGCAAUCACCGUCGUUGAGGGGAAGGGUAGUGUUGGUUCAG